UCGCGUGACUUGUGGCAUUGCCGCCGCUUCCGGCCUCGGACUGCAAUGGCGGCGCCGGGCAGCGAGGAGGAGCGGGCGGGCGGCGCGGUGCCGGGCGCGGGGCAGUUUCACCUUGGCGUGGCGCGACGGCGUGGCCGGACGCUCCUGGUUCGGCAUUUGCCCGCCGAGCUGACGGCGGCGGAGAAGGAGGACCUGCUGCAGCACUUCGGGGCGGUGGCCGUGCGCGUCCUGUCGGACCACGGGCGGCUGAAACAUACUGCUUUUGCUACCUUUCCUAGUGAAAAUGCUGCUGUAAAGGCUUUGUCAAGACUGCAUCAGCUGAAACUUUUAGGGCACACUUUAGUGGUUGAAUUUGCAAAGGAGCAAGAUAGUGUGCAAGUACUUAGCCAGCCUUCGCUCUCAGACAAAUGUAAAAGUCCAGAAGAGCCGGUGAAAGAAGAAGAGAAGAGAGAACCAAGCUGUCUUAAAAUAGAGAAUGGAAUUGCACCUAGCCAUGGCCUCACAUUUCCCAUCAAUUCUUGCCUCAAGUAUCUGUAUCCACCACCUUCAAGUACAAUUCUAGCAAAUAUAGCAAAUGCCUUGGCAAGCGUGCCCAAGUUUUAUGUACAGGUACUUCAUCUUAUGAAUAAAAUGAAUCUUCCUCCACCUUUUGGACCAAUUACUGCUCGGCCUCCCAUGUAUGAAGAGUAUUUACCAGUGCCUGUGCCACCCCCACCAAUUCCACCUCUGCCUCCUGAAGAGCCUCCUUUGCCUGAAGAGGAGGAAGACCAAAUCUCUAGUGGAGAUGAAUCAGAAUAUGAAAGUGAUAAUGAGGAGGAAAAAGAGAGAAUGACCAAAUUGAUGGAAUUAGCGACCCUUCAACCUAAAAGACCAAUAAACACAAAGAAGCGUGGUGUUAGAAAAAAGCAAAGAAUUAAGGACUUUCUGAAUGUUCCCACAUGUACUCCCCACAGUAAUUUGCACCCUACCCUGUCGCCUUCAGAUGUCUUUGAGCAACCACAGCACAUAGGUCUUAAAAAGAUUGAGUUCCAUAUUACUACUGACAUCCCAUCUGUUCUUCAGAUAAACUCAGAAAGAGAAGAAAAAAAUGAUCUUUAUGCCACCACAGAAGAAAUCAAUAAUACAGGAUUUGGAAGGAUUUUCCCAACUCCUAGCUCAAAUGAUAAAAUGGCAACAGAGGAAGAAGAUGAUGAAAUACCAUCAGAGUUUAUUUCUAGAAGAGAACUAGAGAAAAACAGACUUUCUAGGGAAGAAAUGGAAAAAUUUUCUGUUUUCAAAAACUAUGAGCCAGGUGAACCAAAUUGCAGGAUAUAUGUGAAGAAUUUGGCUAAACAAGUUCAAGAAAAGGAUCUCAAGUUCAUUUUUGGAAGAUACGUUGACUUCCAGUCAGAACUGGAACGAAAUAUGUUUGAUAUACGUUUGAUGAAAGAAGGACGUAUGAAGGGUCAGGCUUUCAUUGGACUUCCUAAUGAAAAAGCAGCAGCUAAAGCUUUGAAAGAAGCAAAUGGCUAUGUCUUAUUUGAAAAACCCAUGGUCGUUCAAUUUGCUCGUUCAGCUAGACCAAAGCAGGAUUCCAAUGAAAUUAAAAGAAAAAAAUAGAACAUAGCAAAAGGUUCCUUUUGUGUUCCGUCUCUUUCAAGAGGUCUCAAGCCUGGAGAAGAAGCAGUGUAAUCAUCAGGACUCUUCAACUGGCUUUGCUGGGCACAGUACAACCCCAACACUCAGGCUGGGAGGACGUCUAUUGUGCAUCUCUUUGAAUGGCGCUGGGCCGAUAUUGCUCAGGAGUGUGAACGCUAUUUAGCUCCUAAUGGGUUUGGAGGAGUUCAG